UUUCCGUAGGUGAACCUGCGGAAGGAUCAUUAAAAGUUUAGAGGUAUGGGGUCCGCUGGGGUGAGAACCUCCGCUGGGCCCCUAUCAUCUCAAACCACUCUGUGAAACCUCCCUUUUGUCCAAACUCAAUUUUUUGUCAAACGUAUCAUGUCUGAAAUCAGUUUUAUACAAACAAGUUAAAACUUUCAACAACGGAUCUCUUGGUUCUCGCAUCGAUGAAGAACGCAGC
rnacentral:misc_RNA from 1 species